rnacentral:rRNA from 1 species
UACGUAGGGACCAAGCGUUGUUCGGAUUUACUGGGCGUAAAGGGCGCGUAGGCGGCAAUUCAAGUCAGCUGUGAAAUCUCCGGGCUUAACUCGGAACGGUCAAGUGAUACUGUCGUGCUAGAGUACAGAAGGGGCAACUGGAAUUCUCGGUGUAGCGGUGAAAUGCGUAGAUAUCGAGAGGAACACCUGCGGCGAAGGCGGGUUGCUGGGCUGAUACUGACGCUGAUGCGCGAAAGCCAGGGGAGCGAACGGG